UUAUGGUUUGCCUGGGACUGAGGAAUUUGCUGGGAUAUGUCAGUUCCAGGCCAACCAGGCUG
rnacentral:pre_miRNA from 2 species